rnacentral:misc_RNA from 1 species
AGCAGCCGCGGUAAUUCCAGCUCCAAUAGCGUAUAUUAAAGUUGUUGCAGUUAAAAAGCUCGUAGUUGAAUUUCGAGAUCAAAUUGUUGGUCGUGCCUUGGUACGCACUGGCAUUAUUGGUUUCUCCCUUCUGACGAACCAUGAUGUCAUUAAUUUGGUGUCUUGGGGAAUCAGGACUGUUACUUUGAAAAAUUAGAGUGUUUAAAGCAGGCUCACGCUUGAAUACAUUAGCAUGGAAUAAUGAAAUAGGACGUUUGAUUCUAUUUUGUUGGUUUCUAGGAUCGACGUAAUGAUUAAUAGGGAUAGUUGGGGGCAUUAGUAUUCAAUUGUCAGUAGGUGAAGUUCUUGGAUUUAUUGAAGACUAACUACUGCGAAAGCAUUUGCCAAGGAUGUUUUCAUUAAUACAAGAACGAAAGUUAGGGGAUCGAAGACGAUACAGAUACCGUCGUAGUCUUAACCAUAAACUAUGCCGACUAGGGAUCGGAUGAUGUUAAUUUUAAUGACUCAUUCGG